UAGGGAAUCUUCGGCAAUGGACGAAAGUCUGACCGAGCAACGCCGCGUGAGUGAAGAAGGUUCUCGGAUCGUAAAACUCUGUUGUUAGAGAAGAACAAGGACGUUAGUAACUGAACGUCCCCUGACGGUAUCUAACCAGAAAGCCACGGCUAACUACGUGCCAGCAGCCGCGGUAAUACGUAGGUGGCAAGCGUUGUCCGGAUUUAUUGGGCGUAAAGCGAGCGCAGGCGGUUUCUUAAGUCUGAUGUGAAAGCCCCCGGCUCAACCGGGGAGGGUCAUUGGAAACUGGGAGACUUGAGUGCAGAAGAGGAGAGUGGAAUUCCAUGUGUAGCGGUGAAAUGCGUAGAUAUAUGGAGGAACACCAGUGGCGAAGGCGGCUCUCUGGUCUGUAGCUGACGCUGAGGCUCGAAAGCGUGGGGAGCAAACAGG
rnacentral:rRNA from 1 species